GAUGAACGCUGGCGGCGUGCUUAACACAUGCAAGUCGAACGGAAAGGCCCAAGCUUGCUUGGGUACUCGAGUGGCGAACGGGUGAGUAACACGUGGGUGAUCUGCCCUGCACUUCGGGAUAAGCCUGGGAAACUGGGUCUAAUACCGGAUAGGACCACUUCUUGGAUGUUGUGGUGGAAAGUUUUUUCGGUGUGGGAUGAGCUCGCGGCCUAUCGGCUUGUUGGUGGGGUAAUGGCCUACCAAGGCGUCGACGGGUAGCCGGCCUGAGAGGGUGUACGGCGACAUUGGGACUGAGAGACGGCCCAGACUCCUACGGGAGGCAGCAGGGGGGAAGAUAGCACAAUGGGCGCAAGCCUGAUGCAGCGAGGCCGCGUGGGGGAUGACGGCCUUCGGGUUGUAAACUCCUUUCGCUAGGGACGAAGCGUUUUGUGACGGUACCUGGAGAAGAAGCACCGGCUAACUACGUG
rnacentral:rRNA from 1 species